CUCUGUCCAAAGAAGCCUGCAGCAGGAACUACAGAAGCAGACUGCUUUUGUCCCUUUUGCCUCAGGCCUUAGUGGGAUCCCCUGUUGGCUGUGUCCGUACAAUCAUCUUAACCUCAUCUCAGACACCUUAAGUAUCUUAACAUCUGCACAAAUAAAAAGUCUCUAGCUUGCAUACAGCUCACAUGAUACAGGGUUUGAGCUCUGGUCCUCUGGAAUGGCAGGCCAGACCUUGGGGCUAGAGACCUGGCAUUUACACCACUGUAAAAAUAGCCACAUCUAUCUUUGUCCUUCUAACCCUAAUACACAGCUAUAAACCAAGUAUUGAGUAUCAGUUGUCUGCUCAUACUUACACGAGAUGCAGAAGAAUCUGCUCUAAAGGAUGUGUAAUCUAAUUAGACAUUAAUGGAAGUGCUACAGCACAAAAUAUUGCCUUAAUAUUAUUUCCUACCAUUAGACAUACUCAGUGAAUGUUAAUAGCUUGCUCUGCAAGGUCAUUUACAUGGGACUCUGAAAAUCCCCUGAGGUUUCCCCAUGAGCAAAGCUGAGAAGCUUGGAGAAAGCAGUAAUGAGGCCCCACCUGAAUCAAAGAGCUCCCACACACUUGCUUAAUUUGUGAUUAAAAAAAAAAAAAAAAAAAAAAAAAAGCCACUCAGAUUCUCUGCAUUCACCUUCUUUUCCACCAUGGCAGUUGAGCUAGGGAAACAGUUCAGGCAGCGUAGGACUUCCCUUCCCAACCAGAGAGGUACAUUCUCAGUGCAGGUGUGGCUCAGCAGAGCUCAGGAGCCAACCAAAUAAGCUGUGCUGGGAUUUGUGUUCUUGUUUCUGGAGCAGCAAAAAAGCAGCAGGAGCAUGGGAAGCUGAGACACAGGAGAGAAAGCAGCAGCAAAGACUCUGGGCUGCUGGAGACUGAACUACCUUCUGCAGAGGGCCUGUGUGUCUUCAGAGUUCAUCCUACAAACAACCAUCUGGGGGCAGAUUGUGAGCUUGUGGGACCUUUUCUUGAGAUAAAACAGCGAUUACAUUCCUAUGUACCAGUCUGCAGCACACUCUAGCCCUGUAUUUUUUGGUAUCAUGAUUUUAUUAAAGAUAAGUAAUCUCCAAAGAUACUAAGGCAAAGGAAACAAGACAGAAUAUUCCUUUGGAUAGCAAAAAUCUCUCAUAUACUCAUAUACAACCAAUGUCAACCUCUUGAAUUUUGGAGAAACACGGUCUUCUCUCAGCUUUUUCACAAAGCUUCCAUUAGAGACCAGUUGGGUUCACUGGUUGGGUUUUUGCUUUGUCUUUUCAUUUUUCAAUCAGUUUCUAUUCUGAAACAUGCAAUUAAGAACAUGUUGUGCUAUCUGAAACAAUAGGUAGGGUUUACAUAUAGCUGUCAAUUAUCACAGAAGGUGCUGGGAAACAUCCUGUAAAGCUCCAUCUACACUAUGUGAAAAGGAAAUCACAGCUGCAGCUAAGCAAGCAACAUAAUAAUAAUAAUUACCCUGAAAUCAUCUGCUUGAAUUUUCAAAUGAAUCCACAUGACCAGGCUUAAGCUCAAAUAGCAUUCCUUUUCUGGCAGCUUUCUAUCAGUUCAUUAUUACAAGCUUGUGCAGAAAGAAUACUUAUAGGACCUUAGAGCUGGAAAGAUUUUCUGGGUGUCUGAUUUUUGCUCCCUGCUGUGCCUGGUAGACAUUCUGUAUUUGAACCACUUGCAAGUGAUAAAGCUCUGUCUUUAAAAACAAAAGGGUGGGCAAUUCUUUCUAUAAUUUCCCUUUAAAAGAUGCUCACCAUUUAGAAGCAUCUCAUUUCCAGCUUGAUCUUUUCUUAGCUAAAAUUGUCCUUCAGCAUCAAUGAUCUUCCCACUGUUUACUACCUAUAAACUCUUGCAGACUGGGUUUUGAUUCAGUAAAUAAGCUAAGCUCUUCUGGUCUCCUCCUAU
rnacentral:lncRNA from 1 species